UACAGAGGUGGCAAGCGUUGUUCGGAAUUACUGGGCGUAAAGGGCGCGUAGGCGGUUCGUUAAGUCCUGUGUGAAAUCCCCCGGCUCAACUGGGGAACUGCCCUUGAAACUGCAGUGCUAGAAUCUUGGAGAGGCGAGUGGAAUUCCGAGUGUAGAGGUGAAAUUCGUAGAUAUUCGCAAGAACACCAGUGGCGAAGGCGGCUUACUGGUCCGGUUCUGACGCUGAGGCGCGAAAGCGUGGGGAGCAAACAGG
rnacentral:rRNA from 1 species